AAUUUUCUGAUCGCAUUAUUUCUUGAAGUAUAUAAGUAUAUUUUGAUUUAUUUGCCAACAAUUUGUCAUAGUAUUACUUUUAUUGCUUUAGGCUGUGAUUUCUUGAAUCAAAUUAGCUUUUUGGUCUAUUAUUGACGUUCAACAAGCAUCAAUAGUCUUGGACACCAAUUUUUGGACUGGUAUACUAGAUUAAAUUAUCCAUGUGUUGCUGACCUGUUCUGGCCAGAUCUUGAUUUGAAAGCAUUGGUAGCUUGCGGGUUGGGAGGGAACCCUCUUGGUUCACGUAUCCAAAAGCUCCAAAAAAAUUUGGAACCGGUACGGGCCGAUACGGUUAGCCGGUUCGGGCCGGUACGGGUUUUUAACACCGAACCAGACCGUUCGGAGCCAGUAUCGGUUCGGUACGGGCUGAACCGGCCGGCGAGGCAUUUUUGGAAGGUCUACUACACUGCUGACAACCAAUCUGCAUUCAUUCUUCUCUAGCAAUUGGCGGGGAACAUCUGGAAGUGGCGAAUUUGAGCCUCUUUUUCCUUUUCCCAUUUUGCCUUCUAAUUUCUUGUUUUUUGAAGAUUAUAUUUUUUUAAGGCUUCUUUAAUUACAAAACUGUAAUUAAAUUUCUUCUGAUGUGUUUUUUCUGCUGUUCCUGAAGAAUUCAUAUGAUUUGGAGGCUGAUGAUAGUUUCGAGAUAAAGAUGGUAUCAAUAAAGGUUGGGAGGGAACCCUCUUGGUUCACGUAUCCAAAAGCUCCAAAAGAAUUUGGAACCGGUACGGGCCGAUACGGUUAGCCGGUUCGGGCCGGUACGGGUUUUUAACACCGAACCAGACCUUUCCAAGCCAGUAUCGGUUCGGUACGGGCUGAACCGGCCGCAAUAGGUGAGGCAUUUUCGGAAGGUCUACUACAUUGCUGGCAACCAAUCUGCAUUCAUUCUUCUCUAGCAACAGGCGGGGAACUUCUGGAAGUGGCGAAUUUGAGCCUAUUCUUCCUUUUCCCAUUUUGCCUUUUAAUUUCUUGUUUUUUGAAGAUUAUAUUUUUUAAGGCCUCUUUAAUUACAAAACUGUAAUUAAAUUUCUUCUGAUGUGUUUUUUCUGUUGUUCCUGAAGAAUUUGUAGGAUUUGGAGGCCGAUGAUAGUUUCGAAAUAAAGAUAGUAUCAAUAAAGGUACGAUUUUGACUUCGAGAAUCCACAUUCUCAAAGGUGUAGCCAUAUCUGCUGAAGUUCAAAUGGACCAACAAUAAGCAUAUGUUGGUUGACUCUGAUUUAUUUUUGGAUCUGAGAUUGACUUGUUACAAAGCCAAAUAUCGUGUAUUCUAGGUAAAUUUUCUGUUUUGAUUUCUUAGUACUCACUUCUCAGCUAUUGUUGGACCCUAUGCUGCAGCAAAAGUCCGAACUUUUUGGGUGAAGAUGACAGCAUCUUUACUCAUUCCUGUGUUAUCCUUCAAAUGAACUAUUUCUACUCCUGGUCAUCUCAUUUUAUAGGGGCUAGAUUCGUGAUUUUCUGUGGAAGCUGUCCUUGAUAAAUCCUAACCAUUGAUGUCUCUUAAGCAAGCAUAUCUAAUUGGUGGAACAACAUGCAAAGGUCGAAAAACUGUCCGAUCGCAGUAUUUCUUUAAUAGACCUGAUUAUCUAAUGCUCGAGAUUUUGUGAGCUUGUCAUGCAAGACAUAAGCUUCAAAAUGGCUUUUAUAAUGGUUCCAUGCUUUAGAUGGAGCACGGGCAGGCAUACAAUGUGACGGAUAAUCGCCUUCUCAAAGAGUUGGUUCUUUUCUCUUCUUUGCGUGUCAGCUUCUCUAGCAAUAGGCGAGGAACUUCUGGAAGUGAAUUCAUAGGAUUUGGAGGCUGAUGAAAGUUUUGGGAUAAGGAUGCUAUAAAAAAGGAGUUGCAGAAGCCGAGGUAGAAAUUUCUCUAGAGUUGGUAUUAACUAGGGUAAUCUCUUUGGACUUUCCCAUGAUGAUGUCCUUAGUCUUGGUAACAGUUAUUUAAUCAAUCAAUUAUUUAUUCUGGUCCUUUGUCUACUUUUAUUUUUCCUGAUCUUGCUACUUAUCUCUGUAUAUCUGGUGGUAAUUUGAUUCACUUGUAAACUUUUAUGCUUCAGAGGCCUGGAUCAUACUCUAUUGCUAUGUGGUGGUCUAUUGGUUGCUGCUGCAGGAAUUUCUAUACAAUAGUUUGAAUUUGAUUUUCCACUACAACUGUUCAUGAAAUACUCUUUCCUUAUAAACUUAUUACUAUUGUUUGACUACUAGAAUUAUUCCGAAUUUGUUAUUUAUAAGAUUCACUUCUAUUUAUUUGCCCCUUUUUCUUCAUAGCUAUUUAUUUGCCCCUUUUUCUUCCUAGCUAUUUCGUAGUAUUAUUUGCUAAUCAAAUUGGAAAGGGCGGAAAUAAAAUAUAAAAAUUUUAUGCUUUGCAAGUUGUAAGGUCCAUUGUUCUGCAGGCUACUGCUGCAGCCUAUUGGAGACUGGACAAGAUUUUUGGAUCGCUAUAUGCCUUUCCUCCUACUCAACUCUGCCAUUUUCUCCAGAAGGUUGUGAUGAUUCUUGGACCCGGGUUUUGCUAUGAAAGGAAAGCGGCUAUUUUCUUGACGACGAGGCAAUCUUGGAUUUGGCAUUCUUGGCUGUUUGUGGGACUCCGUUUAAUUUGGUUCUGGUGGUUAUGUUCUAUAUUGUUUCGAUGUGCUCUCUCUCCCUCUUUUCAAUUGUUAAUGUUCUGGCUUGUGAAAUGAUCUCUGACAUGCUCAAUUCAUGGGAAAUCCUAAACCAUUAAGCUUAAAAGGUUGCUAUUUAGGAUUUCUCCGGAGGCUUAUUUCGUUAAAUGCUAAGACUAGUUCUCUGGUUCUUCAUAUAAAGAGUUUGGAUUAUUUUAUUGCUUCUA